ensembl:lincRNA Gm26735 predicted gene, 26735
CUUUUUCUUCUUCUUCUUUUUAACAUUAAGCAGAUUGUUUUUUGUUUUUUUUUUUGUUUUUUUUUUUUUUUUUGUUUUUUUUUUUUUGCUUUUUUUUGUGGCCUUGAAUUUUAAGACAAAUAUUCUACACGGCAUAUUGCACAGGAUGGAUGGUUAAAAAAAAAGAAAUAAAAAAAGAAAGGAAAAAAAAGAGUUUUAAAACAAAAACCCUUAACGGAACUGCCUCUUAAAAGGCAGGCGUCCUCGUGCCUGUCAUGUUAUAUUAAACAUACAUACACACAAUCUUUUUGCUUAUUAUAAUACAGACUUAAAUGUACAAAGAUGUUUUCCACUUUUUUCAAUCUUUAAACACAACAGCUAUAAACCUGAACACAUAUGCUAUCACCAUGCCAUAGGACUGAAACAAUUAUAUUUAGCGACAAGUAGAAAGGAUUAAAUAGUCAAAUACAAGAAUGAAAACGCAGUACAUUGUGUCGCGAACUCAAAUCGGCAUUUAGAUAGAUCCAGUGGUUUAAACGGCACGUUUUUGCUUUAUAAAAAAAAGUGCAAAAAAGAUGUGGUUUACAAGUUAAAGCUACAGAAUCCCUUUUUGCUGUGAAUGCACCAGUUUUAAAAACCUCUGGACAGAACAGCAAUUCGUUAAAAAAAAAAAAUUUUUUUUUUUAAAGCAUUAUGGUGCUGGGCUGAACUCUCCUCCCCUUAUAAGACCAGGGGGUUGAAAGGUGGAAACCGGUGGCAGGUUAAGGGAUACUGUCACUUUAAGAAGCCUGCAGAUUGAAGUGUAAACAUGGAGAAACCAGGGGCUGAUUUUUCAAACUGUGUGAGAUAUUAACCAGCCACCCUAUUAUAAAAUCAGGAAAUCCAAACAGCGAUUUACACCGAUUAACACCCCCUUUAUAUAUUUUUUACAAAAAUACACUGAGAAAAUAAUCAAACGUUUUCAUCUCUCUUGUCAUUUUUUGUUUUUUAAAAGUGUCAAAAGUCUACAUUUAAAUAUAAAAAAUUAAAAGUUAAAACUCUAGCCCUUCAGUGAAGGAGACGUAAAAUGGCGUGGGUAACAACACUAGAAAAAAAAAAAAAACGAAGAAAAAGAAAGAAAAUAAAAAAGAAGAUAAAGAAACGAGGUUAAAAGACAAGAAAGCAAAUGAAAAGGGAAAAAAAGGGGGGACAAAAUAAGAAAACUGUUUGGCCAGUAUAAAUACGUCCACAUAUAAAAUGGCAUCUGAUUACAUUUACAAGGGAAAAAAAAAUACAAAGAUGGAGAGUCCGUGAGGGGGUAAAAAUAAACGGGUCUUCUCAAUUACACCUAUAAGGAAUAAACACACACGGAGAAAAAAUUUGGUCCUGAAUUGUGGUUUUUCAAAAGUCCAGCACAGAUUUGAGUUGCGUUUGAAUCCUUUUAAAGAGUUAAAAAUGAAAAGGAGCUGGUGAUCGGUUCGUUGUAGGAAUCAAACAUAGCGCCAUCUAUCCGCUUUUUAUAUUAUCCUACACUAUUUUAAAAACUGCUCAACAGUCUUAUACAGAAAUCUUCAAAAGAUAGACAGGAUAACAUGCUAUAUUAACCCCACCAGUGAAAUAACUCAACACCAUCACGAUUCCCAUUAAGAGAAGAAAAAAAUCUCUUUUCCCCCCCAAACCACUCCGCGGCCCCUGGACCACAUCCCACAGUCUCCUGUCCUCCCGCCGGCUCUGGGUAGCCUCACCUCUCUGAUUUUUUUUUUUUUUUUAAUUCUUUAUUUUUGCACAGACCCCAGGCGGAGGCCCGGGAACCCCAACGCCCUCUGUGCUCCGGGUCCUUCUGCAUCCCCAACCAGGUUGCUGUGGCUUCCACGAGGUCCCCAUGUCCAUUUCCGAGGCUGGCCUGCUACUCCCAGCACAUCUCCAGCUGCAAGGACAAGGGGAAAAAAGGUGGGGGGAGGAGGAGAAAGCCCAGCCCGGGACUUCGCCAGCGUGGAGUUUCUCCAUGCCAAUGCUCCCCUAAGCUCAACACAAAUGCCAAACGCAUCACCCCAGAGCCUUCUUUCUGUCUUCAUUGCAGAAAAAGAAAUUUUAAGAAGGGGAAAAAUACAAAGAGAAUACAAAGAGGGGGUGGGUAGGAGAUGGGGCACGCUGGAUUUUCCCCCUCCUUUCUUGACCAUGAGGCAAAAUCAAACAAGAAAUCACCAAGGCGAGGGGGUGGGGGUGAGGGAAAGAUUCCUUCGGUCUUUAGAAGCUUUGCUUGGCUUCUUUUCUUGCUGGGGGUGCAACCAAGUCCGGAAGCUCGUUGGAAGGGUGGGGUGGGGGGGAGUCUCUUCAAGCAAAAUUGGGGAGGAAACUCGAAGUAGCUUUUUUAGCCACCACCAACAUCAAUAACAACAACAAAAAAAGGUCGCCCCCGUCUACUCUCCGCCUCCUUCGAGUCCCCAGCCCUGAGAGUGGGGGAUGGGAGCGCGGGUCCACUAACGCCCCCGCGCUCCUUCUCCAACGGCGGGACGUGUUCCAGGCCAGCUCUAUGCACUUUUUCUUCCUUUUCUUUUCCCCUUUCUCCUUCUACUCUCCAUCUAUUCUUUUUAACUCAUUUUUUUUCUGUUUCUUUCUUUCUUCUUCUUUUUAACAUUUUUUUGUUUGUUUUUUUGUUUGUUUGUUUUUUGUUUUCUUUUUUCCCUCUCUCCUCUCCUGCCUCUUGGC